rnacentral:rRNA from 1 species
UACGGAGGAUCCGAGCGUUAUCCGGAUUUAUUGGGUUUAAAGGGUGCGCAGGCGGGAGAUUAAGUCGGCGGUGAAAUUUUGCAGCUCAACUGUAAAAGUGCCAUUGAUACUGGUUUUCUUGAGUGUGGAUGAAGUAGGCGGAAUUUGUGGUGUAGCGGUGAAAUGCAUAGAUAUCACGAGGAACUCCGAUUGCGCAGGCAGCUUACUAAACCAUAACUGACGCUCAGGCACGAAGGCGUGGGGAUCAAACAGGAUUAGAUACCCCCGUA